rnacentral:lncRNA from 1 species
AUGGCUCCUGAAGCUGCUUUCCAUAUAGUAACUGGCGUCGUCGUCGUCGUCGUCUUCCAGCUCCUCCGAGUAAUCGGAGUCAUCAUCGUCUUCCUCCAUCUCAUCCUCCUCAUUGUCCUCAGACUCGUGGGUCUCCUCGGUGUGGCCGUCCUCUUCCUCCUUCUCGCUGUCGUGGUCAUUGUGCACCACCUUGCUGACGGCCCUCAGGGCCACGAUGGUCCCGGCCAGGUGGCCGCCCCCGCCUCCUCGCCCUCCGUCCCUCCCCGGCCGCCGCCCGGGGGCGCUGGUGCUGCCGCGGAGGGAUGGGAGAGUCGUGGGGGCGGGGGACCGGCGGCGGCGGCUUCCUCCGGCUACUGCUGCCCCUGUUGGGCGAGCUCAGCCGCGUCUUGGGGUCCAUCUCAGCCUGGCCUGCGGCCCAUCUGCCCCGGAGGCUACCGCGGUGCCGCGAGCGAAGACCCUCGAUGGGUCCAGACGUGGGCCGUGGCGGCGGUGGCAGGGCUCCGCAGCGGGAGCCGCGGGCUGCUUGGGCGGCCUGUCCACCUGCCCCUCCGAUUGGAGCCUAGGCAGGCGGGAGAAGGUAAAGCGGAGGGGAAGGGGCGGGCGCAGUGGGGGCGGUGGGCAGCGCUGGGGCGGGUGGGGAGGCCCGCGGUGCCGGGCGGGAGGGGCCCGGCCGGCGGAAGCGGCUGGAGGGAGAAGGCUCAAUCAGAAUUGCUGCGGCCCCACGCCGGAUCGCCUUCUGCCGCUAUCAUGUUUCUUCCCUCUACCAGAGCGGGGUCACGUGAGCUGCACCGCGGGAGAGCCUGGGACGCAGCGACGCUACGCGGCGCCGCUGCGGGGAGCGCGGGAGUGUGGAGUCCCGGGCGGGAGCCCGGAGCGCCCGCACUCCGCGCAGCGCGGCGCGGCUGGACUCCGGGCGCCGGUGGCGCUGCUGAGAGGGGCAUGCAGUUCGCGAAAUGCCCCUUGUCAAAGGCCUUCGGAGACCACAGCCUCCGUCUGGAGCCCAAAGCCGGCCAGACCUCCUCCCCGCAUCUCCCCUUCUGCGGCUGGGAGAGGAAGGCAGGGGAGCCCCCAGGUAUCAUUGCCCUCUCGCCCCAUCGGGAAACUGAUGCUGAAAGAGCCAGAGAGAGAAAGAAAAAAAAAGUCGCGGAGAGGGGCCGCCCGAGCGACCGAAGGCACCGGGCAGCGCCAGCGACGGAGGGAAAUUAG